rnacentral:lncRNA from 1 species
UCUAGUUUAUCGAGUAAACUAGCAGUAAAAAUUGCAUGAUUUUAAUUUCGCCCGGUCUAGUAGAGUUGUUUUUAGGAAUGCUGAUCAUCGGUCCUGGCGGUUGGUUUUGCGUUUUUCCAGCGCAACUGUGAAGUUGUGCUGGUAAAACCAAGGAUAUGGUUACUGGUUUGUUGGUUCAUUUGGCAGUGGGGAAUUUUCCGAAUGGUUCGGAUGCCACACUGGUUUUAGUGUUGCGUGGGUUCGAAAGACUAUUAUAAAAUUCAAAAUUUAAGGAUGUUUUAGAGGGAUGGUUUUUUUGGUAUGGUUUUGUGAGGUUGUAAGUUUUGGCAUUUCUUUUGGCAAUAUUUCGUAACCUGCGGCAUCACAGGUUUACUUUUGUGUGUUUCUCCCAUACUCGGUAUGGUCGAGGUGUGUUCGUUUCUUUUCUUAUUUUUUCAUUUCUUUUGUGACACAUUGUUAGUUUAGUCGCUGAGGACAGCGAGCGUUUUACCCUUGGUAAAACGCUACAGCAGGGAGAGGGGUAUUGUGACAUUGCACAUUUUAGCUUAACAAUUUAACAACGGCAGUUUUAAAUUUGUCCCGAACGUAAUUACUUUUUGCGCAUAGCAAAGCCUUUAUGUGAUCUAGCAACUGGAUCGAUACUGGAUGACAGUUCGAUUAUCCAAUCAGAAUCAGCUGUCAACAAAGGGUGUUGCCAGAAUACAAAUAUGCACAAUUUUCAGAAUAUUUAAUUAUUUAGAAUUAACAAUUUAAAUGUAAUUAAUAAAUCAGAAAAUAGUCACUUUAUUGUUGGAAAAUUAUAUGGAAUUUUGUGCACUAGGAUUUUCAGUUGGUUGAAAUUUAUUUCUGCAGAGGACUGCUGAGGUGGUCAUUUUAGAUGUUAUCCCCAAGCCUCUCAAGGUCGUUAGGGCUCCUGAGAUCAUUUCCGGCACUUGCUAGCUGUCUCCGGUCCUGUUCAGGCCUCCAGUGCCUGCUUUUAUUUAUCGAGUUUCAUCUUCGAUCCAAAAAGUGAUCAGAUUGAUGGAGUGCUGGCGGUCAAUCCUUGUGUAGCCUAAGGGCAUUCUGGAGGAAUAUUUUCCCACCAUGAAUUUCUUCUGGUGGACUAUGUGGAGGGAAGGGUCGUCAGAGCUGAGAAAAUGAGCUCUCUCAAGUUCCAGCUGGUAAGGAAAUCAGAAUAGUAAUUGUCCACAUUUAAUAGGUUAGACCACAUUCACUUUUCUAAUGAUGUCUUGUUUUCCUUUUCAGCUGACUGGGAAUUAUAAUUAUAACUUUAACUAUAAUUAAAAUUACAAUUAGGGGGCCGGUUUGUCCGGCAACUCAAAUUUUACCACAAGCGUCGAAUGGUGCGAUAGCUUGUUUCCGGGGUCGAGCCUAUUCCAGGUGAAGAAGAUGCUCUCAACUUGCUGAUGCGUCGGUUGCGGUGGUGCUUCAUUGUGGCACAGCGCCUGGGGCGACCAGCUUCAGCUUGCAGAAGGAGGGCUUACACAUUGUACUAGCGGUAACUUCUGGCUUGAAGGUUGGUGUCAUUUUCUUUCUUCCUGGAAGGCAAGAUUACUUAGUUUAGUUAAGAAGAAUUCCUAUUAUCUAUGUUGGCACUGAUAACUAGGGACUAACAGAACUUAGGAACGCUUGUAAAUCAUUUAGAAUUUGAACUAUUGCACGGCCCAGCUCUACCGUCUGGCAAUACAUAUUAAGGUGCUAGCUUAAGCUUAGAAUAAUGAUUUACUGGUUAUAACUUGCUUUGUGUCCGUUAGACAAUAAAAUAGUGUGUCACAA